rnacentral:rRNA from 1 species
GUGCGACACCCAGGCAGGCGUGCCCUCGACCUGAUGGCGUCGGGCGCAACUUGCGUUCAACGACUCGAUGGUUCACGGGAUUCUGCAAUUCACACCAAGUAUCGCAUUUCGCUACGUUCUUCAUCGAUGCAAGAGCCGAGAUAUCCGUUGCCGAGAGUCUUUAG